GAUGAACGCUGACAGAAUGCUUAACACAUGCAAGUCAACUUGAAUUUGGGUUUUUAACUUAGAUUUGGGUGGCGGACGGGUGAGUAACGCGUAAAGAACUUGCCUCACAGCUAGGGACAACAUUUAGAAAUGAAUGCUAAUACCUGAUAUUAUGAUUUUAAGGCAUCUUAGAAUUAUGAAAGCUAUAAGCACUGUGAGAGAGCUUUGCGUCCCAUUAGCUAGUUGGAGAGGUAACGGCUCACCAAGGCGAUGAUGGGUAGCCGGCCUGAGAGGGUGAUCGGCCACAAGGGGACUGAGACACGGCCCUUACUCCUACGGGAGGCAGCAGUGGGGAAUAUUGGACAAUGGACCAAGAGUCUGAUCCAGCAAUUCUGUGUGCACGAUGAAGUUUUUCGGAAUGUAAAGUGCUUUCAGUUGGGAAGAAAAAAAUGACGGUACCAACAGAAGAAGUGACGGCUAAAUACGUGCCAGCAGCCGCGGUAAUACGUAUGUCACAAGCGUUAUCCGGAUUUAUUGGGCGUAAAGCGCGUCUAGGUGGUUAUGUAAGUCUGAUGUGAAAAUGCAGGGCUCAACUCUGUAUUGCGUUGGAAACUGUGUAACUAGAGUACUGGAGAGGUAAGCGGAACUACAAGUGUAGAGGUGAAAUUCGUAGAUAUUUGUAGGAAUGCCGAUGGGGAAGCCAGCUUACUGGACAGAUACUGACGCUGAAGCGCGAAAGCGUGGGUAGCAAACAGG
rnacentral:rRNA from 1 species